rnacentral:rRNA from 1 species
AACGAACGCUGGCGGCAUGCCUAACACAUGCAAGUCGAACGAGAUCCUUCGGGGUCUAGUGGCGCACGGGUGCGUAACGCGUGGGAAUCUGCCCUUAGGUUCGGAUUAAAAGUAAGAAAGGCCGCCAAAAACGGGAGGAGACCGUAAAGCCAAAAGAUUUAUCGCCUGAGGAUGGGCCCGCGUAGGAUUAGCUAGUUGGUGUGGUAAAGGCGCACCAAGGCGACGAUCCUUAGCUGGUCUGAGAGGAUGAUCAGCCACACUGGGACUGAGACACGGCCCAGACUCCUACGGGAGGCAGCAGUGGGGAAUAUUGGACAAUGGGCGCAAGCCUGAUCCAGCAAUGCCGCGUGAGUGAUGAAGGCCUUAGGGUUGUAAAGCUCUUUUACCCGAGAUGAUAAUGACAGUAUCGGGAGAAUAAGCCCCGGCUAACUCCGUG